rnacentral:rRNA from 1 species
UAGGGAAUAUUGGUCAAUGGAUGGAAGUCUGAACCAGCCAUGCCGCGUGCAGGAAGAAGGCCUUCUGGGUUGUAAACUGCUUUUGCCAGGGGAUAAAAAGACCGUGCGCGGUUAAUUGAAGGUACCUGGUGAAUAAGCCACGGCUAACUACGUGCCAGCAGCCGCGGUAAUACGUAGGUGGCAAGCGUUGUCCGGAUUUAUUGGGUUUAAAGGGUGCGUAGGCGGCCCUGUAAGUCAGUGGUGAAAUAUCUCAGCUUAACUGAGAGGGUGCCAUUGAUACUGCAGGGCUUGAGUACAGAUGAGGUAGGCGGAAUUGACGGUGUAGCGGUGAAAUGCAUAGAUAUCGUCAAGAACACCGAUAGCGAAGGCAGCUUACUAAGCUGUAACUGACGCUGAGGCACGAAAGUGUGGGGAUCAAACAG